rnacentral:rRNA from 1 species
GGCUCAGGAUGAACGCUAGCUACAGGCUUAACACAUGCAAGUCGAGGGGCAGCAUUGGGAUAGCUUGCUAUUUCAGAUGGCGACCGGCGCACGGGUGAGUAACGCGUAUCCAACCUUCCUGCCAGUAGGGAGCAGCCCGGCGAAAGUCGGAUUAAUGCCCUAUGUUCUUCAAUGCGGACAUCUAAGUUGAAGGAAAGAUUCAUCGCUGGCAGAUGGGGAUGCGUCCGAUUAGCUUGCCGGCGGGGUAACGGCCCACCGGGGCGACGAUCGGUAGGGUUCUGAGAGGAAGGUCCCCACACUGGUACUGAGACACGGACCAGACUCCUACGGGAGGCAGCAGUGAGGAAUAUUGGUCAAUGGGCGUAAGCCUGAACCAGCCAAGUAGCGUGCCAGGACGACGGCCCUACGGGUUGUAAACUGUCUUUUAUGCGGGGAUAAAGUGCGGCACGUGUGCCGCUUUGCAGGUACCGCAUGAAUAAGGACCGGCUAAUUCCGUGCCAGCCGCCGC